GGGUAGACUUCGUCCGCACCAGUCGCGUUACGGACUGUCGUUCGGCAGUAAUUCGUCUCCGCACAGCAUACACAACACUAACAUAAUUCCCCAGUUCGGUUUUCGGAAUUUUUCGUCAUCGGACCGUAAUAUCGAAAACUUCGUAUUUUUUUCGCUCCCCCCCCAAUCCGUUUUCAACGCGCUCGUGUUUUCGCGAUACAUUCUCGUCUCGUAGCUACUACAGACGAGACCGCCCCGCGUGUGACAUACCCAACCGAAAAAAAGACGUUUCUGCAGUGUGCUCGGCCCACCACGACGACAACCAACACGAUGAGGGCCGUCGUCCUGUACGCAGCCCUGUUCGUCGCGCCCUUGUACGCCCUGACGCUCAAGGUAAGUCUAAGUUAAACAAGUCAUUCGAAA